AAUGAAUUUGAUUAAUGCUUACCUAUUGCCAACAUGGUCUUAUCUAUUCCAUAUGCUCCCUCUAAAGGUAUCUAAACCUUGUUUAGAUAUGAUUUAAAACUAUUUUACAAAUUAUAUUUAGAAAGGAAAAAGACCCAGAAUCAAUAAGAAAUAUUUGGUGCAGAAGAUAAGAAACUGAUGUUUGGGUUUUCCUAUCAUUGAGACAACUUACUA